CACUGCUCUAUAUUUUGAUGUAACGGGAAGUGCCGGAGGUGGAGGUGGAGGUGGAGGUAUUACGCUGUUUCCUGAUGUAAUAUGGGCUGGUGGUGGUGAUGGUGCUGGUUCCUCGCUCUCACUUGAGGAAUCUGGUUGAUGUUCUGGCUGAGGUGGUGUUGGUAUUUGUGAUUCUAUGAUUUUUGGUGAUAAAAUGCUUGGAGAAGGUGGCACUGAUGACUGAUCCGUUACAUUUGAUUGCAACCUAGAAAUUGAAGAUGGAGGUAAAAGCACAUCAAAGGUAACACGAGCUGGGACCGCUUGCCCGUCUGAUGCACCUGUCCAAAAUAUUCCACCAUUUUCUGAUGCUUUCUCCAGGCUAGUCAUUAGAAUCUCCGGUAAGUCCAUUAUUUCACAAUCUUGCUUUGCUUCUGUAUUUGAAUCUUGAUUUGCAUUGGGGAACAUGUGGAACGAGAGGUGUUUUACCUCAAUCGGGUUCUGGUUUCCAACAGCUUGAACCCUGAAUGAUAAGAGAAGAGGGGAAGCAAUAGAAGGUUUUGCAUUCUUCUUUGAGGCAUUGGUUAUUAUCUCAGGGAGGACUGAAGUUGGAGAGCUCGAAAGGGAGGAAUUGUUGCUCGAGUAAGUCUCCGAAAAGUUCUUCUCGAAUGCGUCAGAUGCGUGUCGGAUCUUUCAAAAGUAGUGCAUUUUUGGAGGAUCCGACACAGGUGGCGAAACCAGGAGCUUUGGAAGGGCGUCAAGAUUUAAUAUAUAUUUUGACCUAUAUACACAUAAUAAUUUUUAUAUGUAUAGUAUGAUCUUUUGACGAAGGGUGUUCAGCUGACCACCCUCCACUCUAUGACUCGGCAUUUUUGGAGAGUCCGAGCGACAUAAUUGAGUGAUUUUGACAAGUAUUUAAGACAAAGUAACAGAAGAAUAUAUAUAUAUACCUCAUUUGCAGAUUCAGAGCCAUCACAAGGAGAAAGAUCAAGCAAAUCUCUCAAUGUGAGGAUCUUGUUUUGUAUACCUGUCAUUAUUCUGAAAUUGCUGGCCACACCAAUUGAAUUGUGAAAAGUGGGACUUUUUGUUGCUCUCACCCCAUUUGAAUUGUGCAAUCUGGGACUUUUUGGUGUUUUCACCAUAUUUGAAUUGUGUAAUCUUGGACUUCUUGGUGUUUGCACCCAACAUGAAUUGCGCACUUUGGA